GUGAAGUUAUCAUUCGAAACCAUGGUAGGUGAAGGGAUCCAUCACUGGGCUGCAAGUUUCCUGAGAAAGGCAGGCCAUCUUAUUGUUGUCACAGCUUUCCUCUGUGCCUGAAACAAAGUAGACUCCGUCUGCAGAGUGGAUGGACGGAUCCUCAUCAAAGUAGUUGUGUGGACGCAGCAGAACCCCGCCCCCGUUGCCGACUGUUACUGUGUUGGGGAUGUCCUCAGCAUGGGGGAUGUGGAGGAAACCAGUGGUCACCCAGGCAACCAGGUCCUAAAAAGAAACAAGGAAAAGUUAAAGGUGUGUGUUUUGUUAUAAUUUAGGGAGAUUAAAUAAUGUGAACACAAACCUCAUUUUCAAUGCUCUCAUUAUCGUCUAUGUACUUGCUGAAAUCAACAACUGGAUCCCAGAUCUCAUGCUGAUUGUACAGACUGCUGCUGCUCUGUUCCAGGUCCUUGUGCUUAGUUAUGGCAACUUUAUACCUGCCAGAAGAUAAACUUAUAUCAGACUUCAGUUGUCUUUGCGCUGCGGAAAAACUAUAAAUCGAAAAGGAGCAGGAUUCUGGAUCAGGAAACAUUUGAACCUGUUUCUUACCUGGCCCAGGACAUGGCCUUCUCCUCUGCCUGGCUCUGUGGAAGGUGGUCUGCAGUGUUGCUGGACACUUGUAGCCUGUAGGAGCGCUGAUGCCCCCAACGGUUGGUCUUCUUGCUUGCAAUAUGAAGGUAUCGUGGGGUCUUGGUGUCAUGAGGCAGUGCUGCUUCCUGUUUUGAGUCAUACACAAUAGUUAUAUCCUCUUUGACGUCAGUAGAGGCCGUUAUUGAUUUUUUAGAUUUCUGGCCAACAACAGGCCAAAGAAAUUUCACAUCUAUUUGAAAACCUGAACAUAUUUUCAUGACAUGAAUGUCUCGCUCCAUCAGUGUGUCAUCUAUCAUGUCUGCAGGAUCUGAUGCUUUGCUCUCAGACACAUCCAUUAUAGAAAUAAUUCUUCACCUGCUCUGUUUGAAGCUGUUUCUCCACCAGCUGAGGGAUCAUGGCGUAGCGUUCAGGCAUCCAGGGCAGCGAGUCCUUUACAAACUCCAUGUCUUUGGUCUGGAAAAAGUUCUUCACUCCUGGGACAUCAAACAUUUCAUUUUAGGUUAAGCAAUUAUGUCUAAUAUUACUUCUAUUUGUACUUUAUCUUUUUGUUAAAGUUUUAAUAAUGUUUAUUAUAUUUACUUUUUUUUCACAACACAUAUUUAAAUACCAUUGUUAUCUUCUCCAGGUCCUUACCUAAAACAUCAAGAUCCACCUUGAAGUUGAGGAAGUGAGUGUGGAUGUUUCCAGUGACGUUUUCCGCUACUUGAUGACCAAAUUUAAAGUUAUCAUUAACUUUGAAGGAUGAUGCAAUGUAGCCUGUGGCGUGCACUUUAGCCUCCACUGAGCCACUUUGGUAGAAAAUGAAAUCCCAAACAUAAUCGUAGUUCUCAAUAACUGUGAUUGUCCUGAACACCAAGGCGUUAUUGGCCAGUCCUCCAUAACUUUUGUAGACUAUCUUAGAGAAGUGCCUCCGCAGUGGUUGGCCAAAGUUGUGUUCAAAAACACAAAUUGAGUUUCUGAUCCGGCGUGGAACUCCAGAGUCCAUAAAAUGCAUUGUGUCUAUGUAGGUGGCUGAAUAGGGGCAGUCUACCCCUUUGACCAGCUCGUAGGCAUACGCACCCAUGCUCAGACUGCCAUCAAGAAACUUGGUGAACAUUAAAACUGGGGUAGAAGAUCCAUAGACUGACAUGGCCUCCUGAACACUCAGCUCAUAGAUGAUCCUUUCACCUCUAAAUUGUACAUCAAACACUCUCACGCCUCUAAGGGUGCUCAUACCAAAGGCAAAACUCCAGUCCAAGUACACGAUGUUGUUGUCCUUUAUACUGAACCUUUUGCCUUGAACAUAAAACUGCUGGGGUCCAACACCUGUGGGUUUCUUCCUGGGUUUGAGCGAAGCAUAAUUUUUCACAGGUUUGUAGACGAUUUUCUUUACAGUCCCUGCCUCAUAUUGCUGCUUCAGUUCUGAUAUGCUGUCAAAAUACUGAUCAUUAUAGAACACUUUAAUCACACGCCAGUUUAAGGAAUUGGUGCUUUGGUGGUCUAUUAAAAUUUCAAAGCUCAGUGGAUGGAUGUAAAAGCCCUCCUCUUUUCUGCCGGGCGCAAUCCAUGACUGUCUGUCCCCUGAUUUGACCCCUCUUGGCAUGUUAUCAUAGUAAAUGUGGGAUGAUGACGGUGCUAAACCAAAGCUUUCGUUCAUGAGCGUACUUACUGGCUCAGUUUCAUUUUUCAGGAACGUUUCCAUAAGAGUAUAUUCCUUAAAUAUAACUGGACGUGCAGUCAGAGGGAUCUCUCUCUUGUACCUCUCAGCAGUGACAUCUCGGUGGUAGGUUGGGUUGGGAAGAGGACCAACUACAUAUUCCUUGAUGUUGUUUUGACUGCCGUGAAAAACCACAGCAGUUGCCUCUCUUGCUGGUUUCUGCCCGUUUGCAUCAAGGUAGUGCAAAACCUCCUGUUUCUUCGGCAUGGAGAGUUCAAUCAUAAACAGAUAGUCAGCUGAAGGAAGAGAAUAUUCAUCUGAUGCGAUGUUCAUCCCGAUGAUCUUAAACAUGAAGUCACGCACCUGCAGAAUCUCCUCUUCAGAGAGGUCGGCAAAGACGACGCUGCGCUCAUUGUGGAUCACAGGUCGGUCAGAGUUUACCUGAUGAGCAGGACACGGCGGAGUGCACUGAUUGUUACGCCCCAUCAAAACAAAGUUAAUUAUCAGCGAAAUAACAAAUGCAAAAAUCAGGAGGCAGUUACAAAGUGUGCAAUUAGUUUCACAGGCCAUUUCUUCGUAGAUGGCAACAGGUGUCGUGGAGAGAAAACGAAAGCUGUGUUGACAGACAGGUGAUGGGUGAGGCUGCUGGUUUUACAGGUUACGUUGAAAAGGGGGGGGCGUUAAACAGUAAGAGAAGAUAUGUGACUUCCUUCUGUACCUCUAAAAACAGAACAACUAAAGUGGUGAAAUUAAUCACUUAAUGGCAGAGUUGUGUGAACAGGAAAGCCUAAAUGAUAACAGUAGUAGUAAACAUUACUCAAAGAUAAAAUUUUGAUGUCUUAAAUGCUCUGACAAAAACAUAACUAAAAAACACUUAAAGCAAUGUAGGUAUGUUUUGCUGUGUAAGUUUUUGACUAGUCUAUGCAUGAAACCUGCACAUGAUAGUUUGUACAUUUUGAACAAUACUGCCCCACAAAGGCGAAAUGCAGUAGCAGCACCUUUGGUUAAAAUGAGGUUCAGACUUCUGUUUAAUCAUCUGACAAACUUUCCUGGUUCUAUUAUGUUCGGUUUCAGAAAAAAAUGGGUGUCAGUUCAAGCCCAGAAAGGAGGAAACACUGACAACUCAUGGAGAGCAGAAACAUGAGACAGAGAUGUGGCACAUGAGGAUGAUCUAGGAUAGGAAGCACAGGCGGACUGGGAGUCAAUGGACCUGAGCAAGAGACAGCUGUGAGUAUCAAAAUUAAACAGGUUGCACAAGACAUGAAACAUAUAAACAACUGGAGACAACAGACAGAACGUGUGUUAGCAAUAGGCAAGCUGUGCUCUAUCCACCAAUCAUAGAUUAAAUGGAGCCCUGCUACAUAAUACAUCUACAUUCACCCUCUGAUAUAUGAUUCAUGAUUUCUUUAGAUUCAUAUACAGACCCUCAAGGAAAACAUAAAUCAACUAAAUGUAACUUAAUGUAGAAAAUAGGGAAUAUGUGUUCAGAUUUUGUGCCAUCAACAAUUUGCAUUACAAGGAAUAAUUAUUCUACUCUAAUUUUCAGUGAAUACAUAAAGGUGGAAACCAGGAGAAAUAUCUUAAAAAGAUAAAUAAUAAAUAAAUAAAACUAGCAUAAAACUAAGAAAAUCUUGAUCGACAUGAUGGCUAAACAAACACUGACUAUAAUGACACUAAAAACUAAGUCUAACUGCCUUAAUCUUGACCAACACAACACGAAACUCUCAGACUUCAGAUUUCUCAAAAUGACUAAGCUAAAUUAUAAGAGUAACGUUGCUUUAUCCAUUGUAUCUAAUAUGCAGGCUGUAUGAAAUAUUUCGCCGCUGUUUCAAGUGUCACAGAGAAACAAGUUAGAGAGUUUUUUUCUUUUCUAUUUGUAGUUUUAUUCAAGCUUUUGAUGCAGCCAAACAAAAUCAAAUCACAGACAUAAAAUGAGACCAUGGCAGCGUUAUCUGGCAUCCUGCUUAUGAGUCUGUGAAGUUUUCAUUUGAAACCAUGGUAGGUGAAGGGAUCCAUCACUGGGCUGCAAGUUUCCUGAGAAAGGCAGGCCAUCUUAUUGUUAUCACAGCUUUCCUCUGUGCCAGGAGCAAAGUAGACUCCGUCUGCAGAGUGGAUGGAUGGAUCCUCGUUAAAGUAGUUGUGUGGACGCAGCAGAACCCCGCCCCCGUUGCCGACUGUUACUGUGUUGGGGAUGUCCUCAGCAUGGGGGAUGUGGAGGAAACCAGUGGUCACCCAGGCAACCAGGUCCUAAAAAGAAAUGAGGAAGGAAUGGGAGGUACGUGUUAACCCUUUGAUCAAUUUCUAUUAUUUCUAGAAGUUCACGAUGUCAACACACACACCUCAUUUUCAAUGCUUUCAUUAUCUUCAAUGAACUUGCUGAAGUCAACAGCUGGAUUCCAGAUGUCAUGCUGAUUGUACAGACUGCCAACACUCUGCUCCAUGUCCUUGUGUUUAGUAAUGGCAACCCUAUACCUAAAGGAAGAAGAGUUACUUCAGACUCCAGGAAGAGGGAAGAAAUGGGCGAUAAGGGGAUGACUCAAAAUCAGUGGUGUGGAGAAACAGGAUGAAGAUUGGUUAUAAAGACUUUUGUCGAUGCUGUUUCUUACCUGGCCCAGGACAUGGCCUUCUCCUCUGCCUGGCUCUGUGGGAGGUGAUCUCCAGUGAAGCUGAACACCUGCAACCUGUAGGAGCGCUGAUGACCCCAGCGGUUGGUUUGGUUGCUUGCAAUGUGAAGGUAUCGAGGAAUCUUGGCUUCAGGACUGAGUGCGGCUUCCUGUGAGGGUCAAAAUGAUCCCUAUCUCAAAGGUACUUCUAGCCAGGGGUUAGGUCCAGUAUCACAUUAUGACAUUAUAAGUUCAUAUACUGAACAAUACAGCAUGGAUUUUGUGUCUGAUAGAAAUGUUUAAUUAUCAGACACAUAAAAGGGCAAGCAAGUGUAAAGACAAGGGCUGCCACCUCAUAGUCAUCGACUAUUUAGGCUAUUUAUGCAUCUAUGUUUAAGGCUUUGUGUUGUACAACUUGUUUUUGAUUAUUGUACAUGUUGCAUAGUCCCUAUGAAUGCUGCCCAUCUCUCCCAAUAGACAACUUUUUGGGUAAGGUGGCACGUCCGUCCUAUAAGGUCACAAAAUGUUACCAAAAUGACAAAUAAGUUGCAAAUAAAUUCUGGCACAAGAGUGGAAACAGUUGUCUCUACCUCUGCUGGUAAACAUACAGGUAUUUAUGAGAUGUUAGUAACAGUGUUUGGUGUUUAAAGUAGUACUGCACCUGCUCUGUUUGAAGCUGUUUCUCCACCAGCUGAGGGAUCAUGGCGUAGCGUUCAGGCAUCCAGGGCAGCGAGACAUUUACAAACUCCAUGUCUUUGGUCUGGAAAACGUUCUUCACUCCUGUGGUAAGGACAUACUACAUAUGACUCUAUCUAGACCUGCAUAUUUCCAAGUGUCCAUGACUUUUCAGCUUUUUAAGGUUUUAUGUUGAUAAAUGUUUGAUAUUGAGUACAAUUGUAAAAAAAUCAAGGUGAAGAAUGGUAUGUGUACAAUUUUGAUAUUUUCCACGGUUUUCAGUUUCACUUACCUGAAACAUCAAGAUCCACCUUAAAGUUGAGGAAGUGAGUGUGGAUGUUUCCAGUGACAUUCUCCGCUACUUGAUGACCAAAUUUAAAGUUAUCAUUAACUUUGAAGGAUGAUGCAAUGUAGCCUGAGGCGUGCACUUUAGCCUCCACUGAGCCACUCUGGUAGAAAAUGAAAUCCCAAACAUAAUCGUAGUUCUCAAUAACUGUGAUUGUCCUGAACACCAAGGCGUUAUUGGCCAGUCCUCCAUAACUGUUGUAGACUAUCUCAGAGAAGUGCCUCCGCAGUGGUUGGCCAAAGUCGUGUUCAAAAACACAAACUGAGUUUCUGAUCCGGCGUGGAACUCCAGAGUCCACAAAAUGGACUGUGUCUAUGUAGGUGGCUGAAUAGGGGCAGUCUACCCCUUUGACCAGCUCGUAGGCACAUGCACCCAUCCUCAGACUGCCAUCAAGGAACUUGGUGAGCAUUAAAUCUGGGGUAGAAGAUCCAUAGACUGACAUGGCCUCCUGAACACUCAGCUCAUAGAUGAUCCUUUCACCUCUAAAUUGUACAUCAAACACUCUCAUGCCUCUAAGGGUGCUCAUACCAAAGGCAAAACUCCAGUCCAAGUAUACGAUGUUGUUGUCCUUUAUACUGAACCUUUUGCCUUGAACAUAAAACUGCUGGGGUCCAACGCCUAUGGGUUUCUUCCUGGGUUUGAGAGAGGCAUAGUUUGGCACAGGUUUGUAGACGAUCUUGUUUACAGUCCCUGCCUCAUAUUGCUGCUUUAGUUCUGCUAAACUGUCAAAGUACUGAUCAUUAUAGAGCACUUUAAUCACACGCCAGGAUGAGAAAUUGGUGCUUUGGUGGUCUAUUAAAAUUUGGAAGCCGACUGGAUGGAUGUAAAAUCCCUCCUCAUCACGACAGUAUGAAACCCAUGACUGUCUGUCUCCUGACUUGACCCCUCUGGGCAUGCCGUCAUAGUAAGCAAUAUUUGAUGGAAUCAUGCCAAAGCUUUCUUUUAAGAGCGCACUUACUGGUUUAAGCAUGUCUCUCAGAAGCAUAUCUAUGAGCAUGUAUUCCCCUCCAGAAACUGGACGCGCAGUCAGAGGGAUCUCUCUCUUGUACCUCUCAACAGUGACAUCUCGGUGGUAGGUUGGGUUGGGAAGAGGACCAACUACAUAUUCCUUGAUGUUGUUUUGACCACCGUGAAACACCACAGCAGUUGCCUCUCUUGCUGGUUUCUGACCAUUUGCAUCAAGGUAGUGCAAAACCUCCUGUUUCUUCGGCAUGGAGAGUUCAAUCAUGUACAGGUAGUCAGCUGAAGGAGGAGAAGAUGGAUCAAAUGAGAUGUUCAUCCCGUUGAUCUUAGACAUGUAGUCACGCACCUGCAGAAUUUCCUCCUGUGUGAGAUCAGCAAAGACGACGCUGCGCUCAUUGUGGAUCACAGGUCGGUCAGAGUUUACCUGAUGAGCGGGGCACGGUGGAGUGCGCUGAGUGUUAAGCCAUAUCAAAACAGAGGUACUUACAACCAAAGCAAUGACUGCAGGAAUCAGAAGACAUUUGAGGACGUUGACAAAAGUUUUACAGGCCAUUUUGCUACAAAUGAACAGCAGUCAUAGUUGAUAAAAAGAAAUGUGAAGGUAGGGGGAAAGUUACUCAUUUUAAAGACUCCUUUUACAACCUGGGGGUGUCACUUUUGAUAAGAGUUACAGUAACUGUAUAGUAUCUCAUAAAAAAAUCCUGGCAUGAAUAUUGAGUAACUUAUAAAGAACUGUUUCAUGUUUUAUUACAUUAAAUUCUUAUGAGGCCAUGAAUUUGGAUUGUACUUUUGCAAUUUGGUCUUUUUUUUAUUUAGAAACAUAGUCAUUAAUACCCAGAGUUUAUUCCUGAUAUGUUACCUAACACCUCAUCCACUGUUCUAAAUACAAUACAUUAAUGUUUGCAAUGUUUUACACAAUUUCCACAACUUUAUUAGAGAUUGUUCAUGUUACAAACACUUAGAUCAGCCGACUUUUCUUUUUUAUUUCAUUUUAAUCCUCAAGUCGAAGCUGACACUGAAAUUCAAAUUGCUCUCUAAGUCUGCCAUAUGGACCAGUUAACAUGUGAAAAGUUAAAAUUUGCUAUAAGGUCAAUUAUUCUGGUGGAAUCAGACAACUUCAGUGGCAGACUCAGGGUGUCCGAGGGUCAAAGGUGGGGAUG
rnacentral:lncRNA from 1 species